rnacentral:rRNA from 1 species
UUAAAAAGCUCGUAGGAUUUCUGUCGAAAACGAGCGGUCCACACAACGUGUGCGCAUCUGCUUCGGUUUUGACAUCCUUCCGAAAGACGACUCUGCGCUUGAUUGCGUGGAUCGGAUUCCGGGACUUUUACUUUGAGGAAAUUAGAGUGUUCACGGCAGGCUAUCGCCAGAAUACAUUAGCAUGGAAUAAUACUAUAGGAUCUUGAUCCUAUUUUGUUGGUUUCUAGGAGCAAGAUAAUGAUUAAUAGGGACAAUUGGGGGCAUUCGUAUCAACACGUCAGAGGUGGAAUUCUUGGAUUGUGUUGCGACGAACUACUGCGAAAGCAUUUGCCAAGGAUGUUUUCAUUGAUCAAGAACGAAAGUUAGGGGAUCGAAGACGGUUAGAUACCGUCGUAGUCUUAACCAUAAACUAUGCUAACUAGGGAUGGGUCAUCGUUCACAUACGACUUGAUCCGCACCUUAUGGGAUACCAUUUAGUCUUUGAGUUCCGGGGGGAGUAUGGUCGCAAGUCUGAAACUUAAAGGAAUUGACGGAAGGGCACCACCAGGAGUGGAGCCUGCGGCUUAAUUUGACUCAACACGGGGAAACUCACCAGGUCCAGACAUAAUAAGGAUUGACAGAUUGAUAGCUCUUUCUUGAUUUUAUGGGUGGUGGUGCAUGGCCGUUCUUAGUUCGUGGAGUGAUUUGUCUGCUUAAUUGCGUUAACGAACGAGACCUUAACCUGCUAAAUAGGAGCGCAUAUCUUCGGAUAAGCGCCUUUCUUCUUAGAGGGACUUUAUGCGUUUCAGCAUGAGGAAGUUUGAGGCUAAAACAGGUCUGUGAUGCCCUUAGAUGUUCUGGGCUGCACGCGCGCUACACUGAUGCGUUCAACGAGUGUACACCUUGCCCGAUAGGGUUGGGUAACCUUUUGAACACGCAUCGUGAUGGGGAUAGAGUAUUG